UUGGCAAUCCCUUCAUGGAGAGUUAGGCAACUGGUUCUGACCAUGUAUGGGAAGCUGGUGAAGGUGGAGAGAGCCUUUCAGGAGUCAGGCGGGCAGUUCAGAAUUGCAUGUGACAUGUGCCACACCAGCCACAUUAAGAACUUGGGUGCAGGAGAAGUCAGAUGGACAACCAGAACUGGAUGUUGAAGGGCUUAUAACAACCGAGCGGCAACUUCUUGAAAGAACAAGCUCUUCAGAGUCACCUGGUGUUUCAUCAAACGAUCACCCCCACUCCCACCUCUGGGCCUGGCUCACCCACGGGGUGUGAAAGCCACAGGACAAGAAGGGAGGUCUCAUGCAUUACCACGGGACUGCUCGCUCACAGUUGAUCUGUGCAUUUCUGCUCUGUCGCCGUGCACCUUGACUUUUAUCUCCGCUUUAGCAAUUUGCACCCAGGAAGCCCUAAAGAAUCCAAGAUGUGUCUUUCCUAUAUUACAGUUGCCCCCACACCUAGACCUUGGGACUCCAGAGCGGUGCUGCCUUGUCAUCUCUGGGUCCCCGAGCUAUUGCAACUUGUAGUUGAUACUUUAUUUCAUAUUAUUUGC
rnacentral:lncRNA from 1 species